rnacentral:tmRNA from 1 species
GGGGGCGCACUGGUUUCGACGGGGAUAGUUGAAGCCAAGGCCGCAGGUCGAGGUUGGUCGAUGGCCUCGUAAAAAUCGACCACAAAGAUAAUUGCCAACGACAAUUACGAUUACGCAAUGGCUGCUUAAUUGCAGAGUUGCUACCUGACAGCUUAGCAUGUCACGAUUCCCCCGCUGACGCCUUAUAGGCGGAAGGAAUCGUCAAACUAUAGGGCUAGCCACAUACGUUUGUUCUUUGCCUAUGUCGCGAAACUCAUAAAAGGACUAGUCGGAUGGCCGUCUGGCCCGGAGCAAUCCAUCCGGCGAAUUUUCAUUCCGGACCUAAACCUGUAGACGUCUUCGCGGAUCGUUCUCGGACGGGAGUUCGACUCUCCCCGCCUCCACCA